AUACGGAAGGUCCGGGCGUUAUCCGGAUUUAUUGGGUUUAAAGGGAGCGCAGGCCGGAAGCAAAGCGUGCCGUGAAAUGUAGAUGCUCAACAUCUGAAUUGCGGCGCGAACUGGUUUUCUUGAGUGCAUACGAGGUAGGCGGAAUUUGUGGUGUAGCGGUGAAAUGCUUAGAUAUCACGAAGAACUCCGAUUGCGAAGGCAGCCUACCAGGAUGUAACUGACGCUAAAGCUCGAAAGUGCGGGUAUCGAACAGGAUUAGAUACCCUGGUAGUCCGCACGGUAAACGAUGGAUGCCCGCUGUUGGCGAUAUACAGUCAGCGGCCAAGCGAAAGCGUUAAGCAUCCCACCUGGGGAGUACGCCGGCAACGGUGAA
rnacentral:rRNA from 1 species